rnacentral:rRNA from 1 species
UUGGAGGGCAAGUCUGGUGCCAGCAGCCGCGGUAAUUCCAGCUCCAAUAGCGUAUAUUAAAGUUGUUGCAGUUAAAAAGCUCGUAGUUGAAUUUCGGGGUCAGUAGGCUGGUCGUGCCACAGGUACGUACUGGUCUCACUGAUUCCUCCUUCCUGAUGAACCGUAAUGCCAUUAAUUUGGUGUUGCGGGGAAACUGGACUGUUACUUUGAAAAAAUUAGAGUGUUUAAAGCAGGCUAACGCUUGAAUACAUUAGCAUGGAAUAAUGAAAUAGGACGUUCGAUCCUAUUUUGUUGGUUUCUAGGAUUGACGUAAUGAUUAAUAGGGAUAGUUGGGGGCAUUAGUAUUCAAUUGUCAGAGGUGGAUUUAUUGAAGACUAACUACUGCGAAAGCAUUUGCCAAGGAUGUUUUCAUUAAUCAAGAACGAAAGUUAGGGGAUCGAAGACGAUCAGANACCGUCGUAGUCUUAACCAUAAACUAUGCCGACUAGGGAUCGGAUGAUGUUAAUUUUUUAAUGACUCAUUCGGCACCUUACGGGAAAC